rnacentral:rRNA from 1 species
UACGUAGGGGGCAAGCGUUGUCCGGAUUUAUUGGGCGUAAAGAGCUCGUAGGCGGCUUGUUGCGUCGGAUGUGAAAGCCCGGGGCUUAACUCCGGGUCUGCAUUCGAUACGGGCAGGCUAGAGUUCGGUAGGGGAGAUCGGAAUUCCUGGUGUAGCGGUGAAAUGCGCAGAUAUCAGGAGGAACACCGGUGGCGAAGGCGGAUCUCUGGGCCGAUACUGACGCUGAGGAGCGAAAGCGUGGGGAGCAAACAGG